rnacentral:rRNA from 1 species
UGGGGAAUAUUGGACAAUGGACGAAAGUCUGAUCCAGCAACGCCGCGUGAGCGAUGAAGGCCUUCGGGUCGUAAAGCUCUGUCAGAUGGAACGAAAGAAGCUUACCUAAUACGUAAGCUGUUGACGGUACCAUCAAAGGAAGCACCGGCUAACUCUGUGCCAGCAGCCGCGGUAAUACAGAGGGUGCUAGCGUUGUUCGGAAUUACUGGGCGUAAAGCGAACGUAGGUGGUCUUGUGUGUCUGGUGUGAA